CUUGUAGAUAUUGCCUGUUCUUUCCACUGACUCUCACUUUGGCCAGAUUCUCAUGGCAGUAUAUGCACACGUUGAAACAGGUCUCCAUAUCUUUUGUAUGAUGCCACUCCAGGCUGUCUUGCACACUUCUAGACAAAUCUUCAUAAAGUCAGACUUUGACCACAUUAUUUUCCUGUUGUAAACAAUUGCAGACUUCUCACUUAUCCAUUUCCAAAUUCAGUUUUAGUAAAAACUCACUAACAUUAGCCCAUUUUUUUUCCAGCUAGAUCUCCUACCAGCUUCUUCAUCAUUGGCUCUACAUUAUUCAUAUCAUAUAUAAUUCCACACUUGUGUCUCUGGGUUGUACUUAUACUCCAUUACUUUCCUAGAAUUCACUUCUCUGUUUGAGUUUUAAUUUCUUUCUAGACUCUGUUUUCUGAGUUAGAAUCCUAGCCUGCUCAUUUAUCAGCCAUAUAACAUUGGGAAAGUUAUUUAACCAACGUGUACCUCCAUUUUCUUAUCUACCUAUAAAAGUGCUAACCUCAUAAGACUAUUAAUUUUUUCAUAUUACGGUAGACAGCCUCUAAGACGGAUUCCAGUAAUUCUAGGCUUUCUGAUAUUCACACCCUUGUGUAAUGUUAUCCUCUUCAUAAUGGCCUGAACUUUUAGACUUCCUUCUAAUGAAUAGAGUAUGGCAGAACUGAAUGGAUGCCACUCUGAGAUUAAGAUACAAAUGACUGUGGCUUCCAUUUUGGGUGUUCUCUUUAGUACUCCCUUGGAUUAUUCACUCUGGAGAAAAUCAGCUUCCACAUCAUGAGUGCUGUGAAGAGGCUCACAUGAGUGAACUUGGAAGAAGAUCCCCUGAGGCCUGGCAACAACCAAAUAAGCUUGGAAGUGUGCUCUUCAGCCCUGCUUGAGCCUUGACAGGAUAGCUGCAUGGACCAACUCACAAUUUGACCACAGCCUUAUGGGACAAAUGGAGCCAAUGACACCCAGCUAAGCCAUACCUAGAUUCCUGAUGCACAGAAACUGUAAAAUGAUAAGUGUUUGCUGUUUUAAGCUGCUAAUUUUGGGUAAAAUUUGUUAUAUGCAAUAGAUGACUAGUAGAAGGAUUAAAUGAGAUAAUUCACGUAAAGAACUUAGCAUGCACCCAAACAAUGGUAACUGUUAAUUGAACUGCUAAUAGUAUGGACCACACUUGCCUUUCCCUUUUCUCAAUUUUCAUAAAUAGAUUAAUCUAUAAUAAUCCUACAGCUAUAAUUUGAUACUUUAUGUUACUAAAGAAACUAGUAUAUACAUAUAUUUACAUAUACAUAUGUGCUUAUAUGUGUAUAUAUGGUUGCAUAUAUAUCUAUAUUUUUAUGUGCAUCAUAUAUGUAUGUGUGUAUGUGGUGUGUGUGUGUGUAUGUGUGUAAGUCUUUGAGUUCAAGGCUCUUUGGCUUUAUCUUAAGCACUGUGUUAGCUUAUACAAAAUGUGAAUUUAUUGUAUGAUGAAUAAAUUGAUGCUAGAUAGAAUGACACACUUUGAUCCAUUAGGCUUGCUUUAAGAAAAUUCUGCAAGCUGCAGAGCUGGUAUUUCUGGAAUCCAUUUGGGGUGACUGCGAAUUGGGUCAAAGGGAAUUAAACAGAUGGAAUUAUCUGGUUUCAUUUGAGUCAGCUGAGAAAAUAGAAAGGCCAGCCUCAAUUUCCAUAGUCAGCAGUAUAUAAUCUUUAAUUUUGGACAAAAAGAGAUAAUUAAAACCAAUUUAUAUUAUCAAAAAUGUUUUCAAAUACUAGUAAAUGGUGAGCCACAUACACUAAUCUUGAAAGCUUAGUUAUUG
rnacentral:lncRNA from 1 species